UACGUAGGGGGCAAGCGUUGUCCGGAUUUAUUGGGCGUAAAGAGCGUGUAGGCGGUUAGGUAGGUCCGUUGUGAAAACUCGAGGCUCAACCUCGAGACGCCGAUGGAAACCAUCUAACUAGAGUCCGGAAGAGGAGAGUGGAAUUCCUGGUGUAGCGGUGAAAUGCGCAGAUAUCAGGAAGAACACCCGUGGCUAAGGCGGCUCUCUAGUACGGUACUGACGCUGAGACGCGAAGCGUGGGGAGCGAACAGG
rnacentral:rRNA from 1 species